GAGGCGGGAUCAGCCCGGCCGGGGGCGUGUGACAGGGAUACCCCGCGGACCGAGCGAGGCGGGAGGACUGGGUGCUGCGCGCACUCUGCGUUAACUACUGUUCAUUUCGUCUCCUUCUCAUCCUUCUUGUAAUUUGUAUUUUGUGUGUGCUUUAUCAUGCGCGCCACGUGUCAGGACAGCAGAGCCUGCGUAUGGUUUAUAAAUAACUACACGUAUCCUGGGGACACACGCUGGCUCAGAGGUGUUAGCACUGGUAGGGCAGAGCUGCGGCCUCUCCUGGCCACAUUUAAGGAUCUGGAGCAUUAAAUAACAUUAAGAAUUAACAGAUGCCAAAGGAGUCGCAUUCGUUUUUCCGUGGGAAGGAGGUCAGCACCGGCGGCGUGGGUGUCGGACCACGUAGAGAAGCAGAUUCCCAGGAGAAGGACAGAGGUGUGACGAUCCAACGGGGGGGGGGGAAGGGAUUUGUCUUGCGGAUUAUAUUUUAUUUUAAUAUCUAGGCUUGAUAACUAUAAUCUUGUACUCACUGAUCUCCCUGUUACGUUGAGUUGAGAGAUUCGGCUUAUCCAGAUUUUGGUAAGCUUUUCAUUAGAAUCAGGCCGGCUCAGCACUGAACUCAUGUUCUGUAUUUUAUGUGCUAAUUUUUGGACAGCUUUUUUUCUAGAUAGCUAAGAUUUUGCUCAUGACCAGUGUGCGCUCCACAGGCCACCUUCCUUAUGCAUCUCCAUAAUCCCACCCUGCAGCUUCUCCAGUUAUCCCUUCCUGCAGUAAUCAAAACUGAGGUUUACUGUGAAGUUUUAGCCCUGAUGAUUGACAAGAAAACAAUCUAAAGUGACCUGGCAGCUAAACGUGAACUUUCCUAGAAAAGAAAGAAAAGAGGUAGAUGUGGAUCAGGCUUGUUCACCUGAGCAGUUGAAUGCUGGCACCCAGCAAUAAACACAUUGCUGAACUGCUGACAAACCCCGAGAGCCUGAGAUUGCUUACAAAAUCUUGGGAUUGCUGAGAGAGAUUUAUUGAAAGAAGCCUGCUUUUAUUUUUACGUUCUGUCUCACUUUAAAUUUCUUAGCUGUGUGGCUUCCAUUUUUUAAACUCCUUAGGAGGCGUUAUUGGUAUUAUUUUUAAGCUUAAUCUCUGAGACUGGCUUUUGCUUACUUUAUCUGCACUGCUUUAUCUUCAUAGCAUUGCUGUCUGUUCUCACGAGAUGAGUACCUCAGUUUUCCAGUGAUACUGCUUCUGCAGAAGAAUUUAACUAAAGCCCUGUCUUUUUCUUGCUUUAGACUUUAGCACAGUUUGAAAGUGAAUGUACAUUACUAAGACUUACAGAAUAUUUGAUUCUGACGUAAAAACAAAAUGCUUUUCAGAUGCUGUGUUUGUAAACUGAACAUAUAUUCCUGUAAUGUCAUUGAGGAGAAUAAAGCAGUUUGUUAGUGUGGAUUUGGGAAGUCAUCCUAAAUCAACAACAUUAUGUAACUAUUUUAGGGAGAGAAGGAAAGAAAAAUGUCCUUUUUAGCCUUUUAGCCUUAAAAUUUAAAGGAAAAUUUUAAGUACACAAAAUGUAAUUACUUAUCUUGAAAUUUAUCCAGGAAGCUAGAAUUAACCACCUUCCUCUCACAAAAAAAUAUAACAAUAGGAUCAUAUGCCAAUCAUGAGUUUCAGUUUAAAAGUGAGAGAGCAUGAUUGAAAAGCCACUGUUUAAUGUGUGCUGCUGCUUAUUAUUCUCAGGUCUCUUUUGUGGCAAUUGUGUUGCCAUUUUCUGCUCACUCCAUGCCCUCUUCUGGACCCAAAGGCAACACAAGUGUUUUUUGACUGACUUGCACAUUCUGCUGGGGCAUUCGGUGAGCUCUGUCACUGCUCAUGGAUUCAUGUGCAACAGCACCAACAUGGUGCAAUUUGGGCCAAGUUGCCCAGUAUGGACAAAUAUCCAUGAAAUUCAGCCUUAAAAACAGCCAUCUUUUUAAAUUAUAGAAAUACCUGUUCUAUAAUUCGGUUGUUAAACUGUUCAGAAUUUGCAUUUCUGUCCAUUUCCCCGUAGAAAAACUAGCACUAAUCCUCGGUUUUGUGUUCAAAUGUCAGUAAAAGUAUCAGCUCUACUAAUGUGCUAUAUGGAAACUCUAGUUUGCAUAUUUCAACAGGUGAAAAAUACGACCCAGCAAAGACAUGGUUAUAACACAUUCAGAUCUCUGUAGGGAUGCAAAAGUCUGUGCCUAAUUCAUCAAAAUAAUCCUGUACUUCACAGAUAGCCCAUAAUCUAAGUACAUGUAAUGUCAUAGGUGGUGGGCAGCCCGUGUACCCGGAGCGGUAAGGCAGUUUCCCCUCUGGAGCACAAGCUCCCUUGCCUUGGAGCCUGCCUGUGGCUUGUAGCUGGCAGACAUGGCUGUGCAGCACAGCCUUUUAAGGGAGAACUAUCUAUUCGGGUUUUGUCUUCUUCACUAAAUAGGGUGUUGCAGAUAGUGACACGCUCACUAACUGGGAUUUCCACUCCUCUUUGCAGUGCCUGAUGAGGAAAAUCCUCCUGCUCCCACCAUGUACUGCCAUUUCAGCUCCAGAUAAUAUUUUCUGUGCAUAAUAACUUCCACAGUCUGUGGGAACCUUGUCAGCACAGCGUGAAUUUGUCCACCUUUAAUCAGCGCGCAGGCAGGAGAAAGGCUUUCCACCCCUUUACAUGGGUUGCUGUGCUGCCUCUCGGGGGGAAUGGUUUGCUCUCUUCCCGGGUCAGCCGGCACUGCAUCAGGUUGUUUGGGAAGUCAGCGAGGCUGCCGGGUACUAGGAUAAAGUUCUUUAAAAGGCAUCAUUGCAGGAAAACUGACAGUGCACCCAAGAACCGCAGUUACAAGCAGUCAUUGAUUUGUUUCCUGCUUGAGUACCAUAAAACGUUUUUCAAGAAAUGGAAGGAGAUAAAGGGCAGAGUGCUAAAGCUACCAGUGCAGUGGGUGACCUGAGGAGAAGUUGGCAGACCUGGGCAGAGGAUCACAUUGAGUAUCAGAAAAAGAACCCGUUCAGCAAUGACGACAGGCUUGCAUCUAAACCUGCGCACACUCACCGAGGAGAUCCUACCUAUGGGAGACCCCCUGAAGGGUCUCGGACAGAGCAGAGAGGGAAAGAUGCUCAUUCACACGUGGGCAAGGAAGUAGAAGAGCUGUGCUUGAUCAUUAGAAGCACUGGACAGGUGGGAGAAGAUGGACACGUGAGUGUGACAUUCGGGCAGCUGUUUGAAACAUACGUGACUAUUUCCAACAAAGUAGUAGGAAUCUUGUUAAGAGCCAGAAAACACGGUCUGGUUCAUUUUGAAGGUGAAAUGCUUUGGCAAGGAAAAGAUGAUGAUGUGGUCAUCACUUUACUACAAUAAGGCUUUGUCAUGGAAUGAAUUUUGCUGCAUGGUUCCAUUUGGACAAACAUACCUAGAUAGCACCUUGAAAGGUUUUCAUUACAGAAUUUCAACUCAGCUACCUACUGGGACAUGAGCAGGAGAGAAAAUUGGUGAGAAGGAUAAAGCAUAUUAUUGUAAAAAUGUAGAGAUUUGGACAGAAAUCACAAAUGAUGAGCCAAUCCAUCACGCCAUUGGAUUGUCUUUAUCAUCUACUAUUAUGUAUAUCACAGUUCUACAAAUGACUCUGCUGGCUUUUAGGUUACUGAGGAUAAAUAACUAACUUCCUACCAUACAACACUGAUCCUUGCAAGUUGUGAAAUACUUGCUGCAUGGGGGAUUGAGAUUUGUAAAACGUGAAAUUGAAAACUUUUGUGGGCAUUCAUAUACUUCUUCAGACAGAGAGCCUGGAUAUAUUUAGGUUUAAUUUCACACUGUUAAACUGAAUAAGUGGAAGCUAUUUUCAUGAAGGAGAAAAAAAUUCCCAAACUUACUAAAAUACCACAGCAAGGAUAUUUGAUGGUUCCUAAAUUAGUUGCACCUUGCAUGUAUUUUGGAGAGCUGCACUAGUCCUGGUUUUUAAUAGCCUAUUCUUAUAAUCAUAUUUUCUCCAAACCUUCUGUGUCCUGUGUUCUUUUUCUUCUGUAUCUCACACCAUUUUUACCUCUUCUGUUCUUCCAAUGCUGUGUCAUACCCUAGAAGGUCACAAAGCUCUGCAGUUUUUUUGGUGAAUUCAGCUAUACCCCUUCAUAGGAAGUAAGUUGCCACAAUAUAAAGAUGUGAAAGACAACAGAAAUUCUGUACUGGGGCAUCUGUACAUUCAUAAGGAAAAAAAAGGCUCUUUCACAAAAAUGAGGCAAUGUUUUUUACGAGAGGAGAGAUCCUGUAGUGCCAAAUGCAUAAAUAAAAAUAUAGCAGUGCUGUCCCAUACCUCGUUUACCAAAGGCAAAGCUGUGCUUUCAGAGCACAGUUGUGAGCUCUCCAAACUUUUUAAAAGAAAAAAAAAGGAUUGAUUAUAUAAAAUAGUUGUAAUAGUGCUAUUAAAAAUAAUCAGGAGCUGUAUUUACAAUAGUUCCCGUCAGUAAAGCUGUAAAAUUAGAAAUCUAAAGGUCUGGUUUUUAUCGGUGCAAAUAAAAGCUUUUGUGUGGUGUUAACUACACUACUUGAUGGGUCUUUAAAGAUACUCUCUUGCAUCAAAAGGAUAUUAAAAUUUAAUAUAAAUUAAGAACUUGAUAAAAGUGAUGUUACUUUAUGCUAUUUAUAUAAAAAAACCUUUAUUGCAAAAAGCCUAAAAGAAUGGUUUUUUGUUUUGACGUUUCCAUCCAAUUGGGAUUUGCAUCAAAAUAAGCCUUUUGACUGGGCAAAUAAGAAUACAGAUUUCAUUAUCACUCUGCCUCCUUUUUUUUCUAGUGAGAAGACAAUGAAAAUAGGAAAAAAGGAAGAAAUGAAUGUGCUGAAAUAAGUAUAUCUGGGGAACAAGGGAGUCAGAUGUAGGUAAAAAAUGGAUGGGGGAACAAAGGGUGGGUUUUAAUCACCACUUAAUUUUACCAUGUCGGAAACUGGGGGAUAUGUGCUGCAUCAGGCAUUGCUGGUGUGUGUCCACUUAGUUUUCAAACCCUCCAUUUCUUCCAAAUAAAUCUACGUCUUGCAGCUGAAAAUAAGGCAUGUCAUUUGUGAUCUUAAGACAUUUAAAAUGAUUUGAUUUUUUUGGAAAAGCAUUUUUUGCCAAAGUGAUGUGAGCACACCUCAGGAGAUUUCAGCUCCCAUUAGAUGAAGUCUUUACAUACAUUUGGAUUUCAAAACAAAUCGAGCUUUUUAAAAAGCAGCUAUGGAAUGACUUUUGUUUAAUUCUGUCAGUUCUGAAAUUCAGUCAGGUCUGCUGUAGUGUUAGUACAUAGCUUGCAGGAAGCAGCAUCAGGUGCUUCAAAUGUCACCAGCCAACUAAUGGGGUUGUAAUUACCAGGAAAUGUAAUACAUUGCUAGAAAUUGUACAAAUAAUCCAUGGCAAGACACACAGUUGAGGCAGUGUGUACUCUGCAAGUGUGUACCCCAAGAUGCAACUCCAGCUUAUAUAAACUUACUAGUUCUUAAGGCUGGCUGAAAUAGUUAAAUAUGAGCAAUCUAAGUUGUCACUGUGACUACUGUAAGCAGUUAGUGGCAGAUGCUUAUGCAGCCUCUGAUGCAUUUUCUCCUGCUGCUGGUUGGUUUAAAUACCCCUUGAGUACAUCUUUAAGCACACCUCUGAUCAAAACAGAUGGAAACAGAACAAGGUCUUACCUACUUUGUAAGCAACUAAAAAAACCUUGCUCUAUCAUUUUAUUUUGAAUGAAACUAAGGAUUAUUAUAGAAAAAAAUAUUAUUUAUAGAGGGGUGGUAUUUUUUUAAGCCAUUAUAGGGCCACAUUUCCUGCCUGCCAGCUUUAGAUGAGCAUUCUAGAAAGAGUGACUGAAAUCCUUCUAUGUGCCCACACAAUGAUUAUAAACACUGAGCUGCCAAACUGGGUCAGCAUCCAGGUUGACAAAUCUGAUCUCGUGCUUCCACUAAUAGCCAGUAUUCCAAAAAAAACAGCUAAAAGAUAGGUAAUACAAUUGGUCAGCUUGCCCACUCCACUACAGAAUAAAAAAUUACUCCUGAAGGCUGUAUAGUCAUGAAUGCAUCAUAUCUAAUGGACACGACUCAGUUUAGCUACUAGUUUACAAGUUUUAUAAAAUUCUGUUUCCUCAUCUGUGAUGUGAUUAAUUAGCAUCUACAGAUGAAAUGGGAAUGUAAACACACAAUUUUUUUUUUCAGCAGGCUCCCAUUAGAGUAAAUGAAACAGAAUUUAUUGAAUUAUUUUUGCAAAAAUUUUAGCACGUGAGGAGCAGUAAACUCCAACACUCUAAAAGGUGUUCUUGCCCUAUUCUAGGUAACUUUCAGCUCUUGAAAUCUCUCCUAAACUUCACUUCUUUGCGGCAGCUCCCUCAGUGGUCUUUUCUCUUCUUUCCCUUGAAGGUUGUGAACUCUCCAUCUGUUUUGAACUGUACAUCAUAUAGGGAUUAUCUGUGGUUUGUCUUGUCAAACACUGAAGGCACUUUCACCAUUUCAAUAAAUAUUGCACAUCAGUUUGAAAUGACAGUUUUUAAGCAGCAUUUUAUUGUUUCCAAGUUUGUCAGUUUUCAAAUACUGUUUUCACUGAUUUUCUCCCAUUUUUAUGCUUUUAUUUACAGCUCUCACUUAAAAAGACUUUGGAAUAGUUUGAGGAGCUAUUACUACUUUAAGCUGUUAAAAAUGCUGUCCGUAGUCAAAACACAAACUUUUCUUUCAUUCUUAAUUUAACAGCAUUGUAUGUGUAUCUGUUUCAUCCUUUCAGAGGAAGCUUUUAGUAGUUCAGCAUAACAGCAUUAUUUUUUGGGUUCACAUUAGGUUGGGAGUUUAUGUAAAACAAUUGAGCAAAACAGUACAAAUAAAGCUUUGUCAUUUCUAAACAUGAGGUCAAAAAAGCAGCUUUUCUCAGGAUUGCUAAUACUGGAUCAAAGAACAGAGCUGGGGCAGUGGCUAAACAACUUUGCUUCUCCAGGCUCUUGGAGAGUAAGAGCUACUGUGUUCACUCUGCUUAUUGAUCUUUGCUCCUUGGAAGGCUCUACAGAUGAUUUUUUAAGUUUUAAAAUAACUAAAAUCUUCUAUGGAAGAUGGUGACAUAGUCAAUGGGAUUUGCCCACUGCCUGUUCCAGAGGACAGCCAGUAGUUCAGAACCGUAUUCAAAGUAUUAGGUGUUUCACAAAAUAUUUCUUUCCUAAUUAAAAAAAUUAUCUGCAGAGUCCAAGAGUGCUUGUCAACGUAGAAGGAAAAUGAACACAGUUCUGUGCUGAAAAAUGCUAACGAGAUGCUGAGCAUUCCUCAGUAAUUAAUGUUCCUCUGUUUAACACUUUGUUGUUUGAGCUGUUUUGAGGCCUAUCUAUUGCUAUCAGGGAUAAGUGAGAUUCUCCAUCUCACUCAUCAGCAAAGCUCUGGAAGCUAGAAUUAUAUCCAGAUUUUUAUCUUUCCAGUCUUAUCAUCACUUGUGCAACCCUUCUCAAAAGUUAAGAUAUAAAACUUGACGUUUUUGCUUUUGUGUACAUUUGCCAGCGUACUGAGUCUGGCUGGGACAGAGGUGACUUUCUUCAGAGCAGCCCAUGUUUUGGGUUUGACUGGAACAGUGUUGGUAACACAGCAGUGUUCUGGCGAUUGCUGAGCAGUGCGUGCACAGCAUCAAGGCCUUCUCUUUUUUCUGCUCUGCCCUCUCCAGUGGGCAAAAAGCGUGUAGUGGGCACAACCUGCACACCUGACACCGACUGGCCAGCAGGGAUAUUCUGUGCCAUAUAAUGUCUGCUCAGCAAUAAAAGCUGAGGAGAGGGCUUUUUUUUUGGCGGGGAGGUGGGGGGAUUGCUACUGCCCUACUUGUGGGAGGUCAUGGGAGGACUACCUUUGCAUUGCACACCUUGGCUUUCUUCUUCCAGUUUCCUUCACACAUUAAACUGCUUUUAUCUCAA